GCUCGAGCGGGUAGGUAACGACGCAUAUCGCUCCGUGAAUUAUUAAUUCCCUUCAAAUAUCACUCGUGAUCAUUGGCUACGAACAAUGUUCUUAUUCUCAAGACGAUUACGAGGACGAUUAGAUCCCCACGGCGAACGAUCGUAUGCGUAUUGAGGUGAGGUAUUUUUCGUCAUUCGAUCAUAAAGCAAUCUUGAUGAAAAUAAAAAUCGGAACAUAAAUCGGAUGUAAUGGAAGAGCAACAGAAGCGUGAACGAAACUUCUAGAAGGCGAAAAUUGGAACAAUGAAAUGUAAAAGAAGCAUUUAUACUUCUUUUACAUUUUGAUGUUUCAAUUUUCGCUUCCUAGAAGUUUCGUUUAUGCUUUUGUCACUCUCCCAUUGCAUUCGACUUACGCUCUGAUUUUUAUUUUCAUCAGGGAAUCAAAGGGGAUAGAUUAUAGAAACGUUGAAUCAUUGUUUCGCGAUCAUAUCUGUAUUCUGUGGGCAAUAAUCGUGUCUUUGCGGUACGCAGAAUUAUCUAAAUUCCAGAGUAUCUCGCGUUGUGCCAAUAGAACUGCGAAUUUCGACCGUUGGCCAGCUCUGUAACCGACCGUUAAAUUGACUCGCGUGAAGUUAGCUAUAGGUGCCUUUGAAUUCGUCGGCCAUUUGCUAAACGCCGCAAGUGUGAAACGGAUCGGCUCCGAAUUAAGGCUCCCAUAUUCCUGUAACUUUUAACGACCGUAACGAUAUCGUUGUAUUGUUACACAGUUUUUUUACUCUGUAUAAAAUCUGCGCAACGAGACAAUUGUAUGAUAUCGGAUUAUAUAUCUUCCAUUUAGUGAUACAAGUCAAUUCUAUCUUUCUUUGCAUGAAUAACAAAACAACGAUAUUUUUAUUGAUUUUGUCGUUAAAGUGGCACCCAUUGUUAUUGCCAUUAAGGCCUCUAUCCUGUAAUUUUUAAAAGCAGAUAACGAUAUCAUUACGUAAGUAAAGAAAUUACGCAAUAACGAUUCUGUCAUUAAGAGUUACAGAAUAUAGCCUAAAAUAAAGAGUUACGGAAUAGCCUAAAGUGACGUGCCGUGCAGUUUAAUUAGCCGCAGUUGAUCUGCCAUUUCGAUAAUUCUCCAUUAUGCAACGUGAAUUCGGAGUGCCGCGGUAACUCGAAAGCAUAGAAUUCUACACCGCUCGAUGCUCUUCUACUAAUUCCAUUCCACUAAUUUACGAGACGUCGCGAACUGAUAAUAGCUUCAUACGAUCCCAUAUUUUACCGCGUCACUUUUCCGUCGUGACACAGAUAUGCGCGUCGCGUGUCAUCAAUUUGGAAGUGUCGUACCGUACGAUUAUCGUAUUUUGCUAAUUAAUAUAUGCCAUCGUACGUAAUUAACUAUAAUUCGCGAGUGAGUGUUGUGUGAAUAUUACGAAUCUGAAGAAACAGGAGAGUUUGAGAGGAGGACGAGGCCCGGGGAGGCAUUGGGCAACUAUAGGAUCGACGUGGUAAUGAAAUGCAGUUACAACUCUGCCGCUGCGCAUCGUACCUAAUGAGUGCACCGGACUUGGUAACUUAAUCUCAGAAUGAGAGGAAAAGAGGAGCAGGAGAAAUAGGAAGAGGACAUCUAGAAAAGGCAUUGGAUGACAAUGAAGAAAUCUUGGAAUUCUUCUGACCCACCAUCGCUGAUUUAAUUAAACAAAUGAACCGCAGCUGAUUUGUCGCGUACAUUUGUUUUCGGGAGUGCCGUUUAAAUUAUCGGACUAGUGGAUAUUUUUUUUAAAGUUUAUUUGUUUAAAUCCGCGUUCGAAGUGGAGGAAUCACAUCUUCGACGUCUUGACGAUAUCUAUAGAAUCGCAUUGAGGCAUUGCUGGAUGGUCACAAUCAUUACAACAAUAUUCUCACACCAAGUGCUUCGGGCACGAGGUGAUGCUAGCCGCGUAAUGUCAUGUACUUUGCAAUGUUACGCGGUUUAGCAAUUUAUUGUUGCUGUUGACUGAUUGAGAACACGCUGUCUGUUGGCAAACGGUUCGGUCCUAAACGGUACGAGUCCGACCAAUUGACUUGGGUUCGUCUCUGGGUUGUCCAUUUCUCUGAUCUUGUUUACCUAUGUCAACCAACACUCUCAAAGCAUAUUGAAUCGCGUUUAAUCUGACUUGGUCAGAGCCUAGCGGUCGGUUUAUUUUGUGACGAGGAGUUGGAUCCCAUUUCUUGAAUUGUCUAGGUUAGACAUUAGCAAUGGGACUUUCUCUUAGAGACUCUCGUCACGUCUACCCUGCUUCAUCGAUAUCGCUUGUAGUACAGCUCACUUGAACUGUAGCUAGGGUGUAUGCUUAAGUUAAUUUUAAACACGAUUUGUGAAUACAGAUGACGAAUUCAAUAUAAUCGAUUCCGUUUUCUUCCGCGCGAAUCUUAACCUUUUGUUUGAAAAUUAUUGUAUUUGUCCUGCAUAUACUCGGCGACUCGAGGAUCUGAUUCCAUCGAACUGAAAAUUCUAACAUUUUAUAAACUUGAAAUGUCAUAGUAUCGUGCGAAAGACUUUUAUUAAUAAUUAAUCCGCGUGCGAUUGUAGUGUACGUAUUAUACGCGAGUGUGUUUUGUGAGUGUCCUGUAUGAGAGGAGAAGGAGACAACUCAAUCUUGAGAGGAGGAGGAGGUCUGAAAGAGGCGUCGGGUACCGGCGGAGCAAUCUUGGGUAUCAUCGUAGGGCUAAUAACUCAUCGUAGAGCUAAAUGGCUGAUAACUUCGCCCGUUGCGCAUCGGUAUAAAUGCAUCCCGACCUCGAUCAGUGUUGUACGACCGACCGCAUGAAUUCCUCGGCUCGACUUCCGCCGCCUCGCGUGGUGUUACUACAAGUGAAGUAACUAUAAGGAUUUUCUCGUAACAAACCAUGCGUGUGACUACGUAACUCCAUCGACUUUCUGCAUGCCGCAUGAUUAUUUGGUCAUUUAUAUCUAAUUUUCAUUUCUCUAUCAAAAUGUUUUUGGAAU